rfam:Hordeum vulgare subsp. vulgare, WGS project CAJW01000000 data, contig: morex_contig_61604
GAAGUACUCCCUUCGUCCAAAAUUACUUGUCGCGGGAAUGGAUAGAAAUGGAUGUAUCUAGACUAAAAAUAUGUCUAGAUACAUCCAUUUCCGUGCCAAGUAAUUCGGGAUGUUGGGAAUACGAG